AGGAGGAGGAAGAGAAGGAUCAGACGAGCAGCAGCGUCAGUAGCGAGGACGAGGAGGAGGAAGAAGAAGAAAAACUUGAGAAGGAGAGGGAGAGGAAGAGGAAGGAGAUGAUGAGCAAGAACAAGUCUAAAACCAAGUGGUUCUCCCUCUUUUGAUCCUAGCUUGUUUGUACUCUGGCGUUCUGAAUGUUUUUUACCAUGUGAUAUACAAUUGUGAUUUUGUACACAUGUUUAGGGUACGUUUUUGAGCUCUGAUUUCAAAAUUCGUGCGAAUUUAGAUUUAUAUUCAAUAAUAGAUGAUGAUCGUGAUGUUUAUCU
rnacentral:sRNA from 1 species